rnacentral:lncRNA from 10 species
UUUUCCCAAAUAGCUAUACAUAUUUUUUACCAAUAUUUUAUUCUCCUCUUCUGUAUACCUAGAGGAUGUGAUUAUUGUCUUCCAUGAAACUGAAUAAAGUAUUGUGACUAGAUCUAGCCAAUAAAUUGUAAAUGAAAAUUAUUAGGUUGGUGCAAAAGUAAUUGUGGUUUUUUUCCAUUACUUUUAAUAUGUGUGGCUGUGAUUGUGGAUAUCGUGUGUUCAAUUAUCCAGGCUUUCUUUUGGUGAUCGAGACAGUUUCAUGUUCUAAAUGUUGCAGCUACCACAUAGUAAAGCCCCUGUUGGCCUGGGUUUCUGAGUGACUCUAGAGUUGAGUCCCAUGUCAACCAAAAAUAGUUACACAAUUUGAGUAGAAAAUAAGGUUAUAUUGUGUUAAGCUGCUGAGAUUUUCAGUUGG